ACUUUACGAAUCGCAUGGUCUUUUGUGCCGGCGAUAGUUCAUUCAAAUAUCUGCCCUAUCAACUUUCGAUGGUAGUAUAGAGGACUACCAUGGUGUUAACGGGUAACGGAGAAUCAGGGUUUGAUUCCGGAGAAGGAGCCUGAGAAACGGCUACUACUUCCAAGGAAGGCAGCAGGCGCGCAAAUUACCCAAUCCCGACACGGGGAGGUAGUGACAAAAAAUAACAAUACCGGUCUUAUUUAAGUCUGGUAAUUGGAAUGAGUACAAUCUAAAUCCUUUAACGAGUAUCAAUUGGAGGGCAAGUCUGGUGCCAGCAGCCGCGGUAAUUCCAGCUCCAAUAGCAUAUAUUAAAGUUGUUGCAGUUAAAAAGCUCGUAGUUGGAUUUUGAAGUUUACAUAUUAUGACCCACUUUGUAUUARGUGUGUUUUGUUGUGAUAUGU
rnacentral:rRNA from 1 species